CUGUGCACGUCAAAACUAUAGAACAAUCAUUUUCUAUUCUGUGUCAUAGUAGUCGACCCCAUGAGUCGACUCAUGUAUAUGAGUCGACCCUAUGAGUCGACCCCUACGAUGAAAAAACUCCAUAACGGCUAGUUUUUCAGCUCAUUUUGGCACAUUUAAUGCUUAUUUAAUGAUUUUCAACGGUUCUAAAACUAUCCAGAUCACUCUCCACCA
rnacentral:lncRNA from 1 species